UACGGGGGUGGCGAGCGUUACUCGGAUUUAUUGGGUGUAAAGGGCAGGUAGGCGUCCUGUCAAGUUAGAAGUGAAAUCCUGUGGCUCAACCACAGAACUGCUUCUAAAACUGACAGGAUUGAGAAUAAAAGAGGAAAGCGGAAUUCCCGGUGUAAGGGUGAAAUCUGUAGAUAUCGGGAGGAACACCAGUGGCGAAAGCGGCUUUCUGGUUUAUUUCUGACGCUGAUCUGCGAAAGCUCGGGGAG
rnacentral:rRNA from 1 species